rnacentral:rRNA from 1 species
UACGUAGGGUGCAAGCGUUUAAUCGGAAUACUGGGCGUAAAGCGUGCGCAGGCGGUUUUGUAAGUCUGUCGUGAAAUCCCCGGGCUCAACCUGGGAAUGGCGAUGGAGACUGCAAGGCUAGAGUUUGGCAGAGGGGGGUAGAAUUCCACGUGUAGCAGUGAAAUGCGUAGAUAUGUGGAGGAACACCGAUGGCGAAGGCAGCCCCCUGGGUCAAAACUGACGCUCAUGCACGAAAGCGUGGGGAGCAAACAGG